rnacentral:rRNA from 1 species
ACACGAACCGUACAAACGUUAUUCGGAAUCACUGGGCUUAAAGGGUGCGUAGGCGGCUUGGAAAGUUGGGUGUGAAAUCCCUCGGCUCAACCGAGGAAUUGCGCUCAAUACUGCCAGGCUAGAGGGAGACAGAGGUGAGCGGAACUUAGGGUGGAGCGGUGAAAUGCGUUGAUAUCCUAAGGAACACCAGUGGCGAAGGCGGCUCACUGGGUCUCUUCUGACGCUGAGGCACGAAAGCUGGGGGAGCGAACGGGAUUAGAAACCCUGGUAGUCC